rnacentral:rRNA from 1 species
AGUGAACGCUGGCGGUAGGCCUAACACAUGCAAGUCGAACGGCAGCACAGUAAGAGCUUGCUCUUACGGGUGGCGAGUGGCGUACGGGUGAGGAAUACAUCGGAAUCUACUUUUUCGUGGGGGAUAACGUAGGGAAACUUACGCUAAUACCGCAUACGACCUACGGGUGAAAGCAGGGGAUCUUCGGACCUUGCGCGAUUGAAUGAGCCGAUGUCGGAUUAGCUAGUUGGCGGGGUAAAGGCCCACCAAGGCGACGAUGCGUAGCUGGUCUGAGAGGAUGAUCAGCCACCCUGGAACUGAGACACGGUCCAGACUCCUACGGGAGGCAGCAGUGGGGAAUAUUGGACAAUGGGCGCAAGCAUGAUCCAGCCAUACCGCGUGGGUGAAGAAGGCCUUCGGGUUGUAAAGCCCUUUUGUUGGGAAAGAAAAGCAGCAGGUUAAUACCCCGCUGUUCUGACGGUACCCAAAGAAUAAGCACCGGCUAACUUCGUG